rnacentral:rRNA from 1 species
AUCGAUCACUCCCCUUCGGGGGUGUGGAGUUCUGGGGCUGCGUGGGAACUUCGCUGGUAGUAGUCAAGCGAAGGGGUGACGCAGGAAGGUAGCCGUACCAGUCAGUGGUAACACUGGGGCAAGCCGGUAGGGAGAGCGAUAGGCAAAUCCGUCGCUCACUAAUCCUGAGAGGUGACGCAUAGCCGGUUGAGGCGAAUUCGGUGAUCCUCUGCUGCCAAGAAAAGCCUCUAGCGAGCACACACACGGCCCGUACCCCAAACCGACACAGGUGGUCAGGUAGAGCAUACCAAGGCGUACGAGAUAACUAUGGUUAAGGAACUCGGCAAAAUGCCCCCGUAACUUCGGGAGAAGGGGGACCGGAAUAUCGUGAACACCCUUGCGGUGGGAGCGGGAUCCGGUCGCAGAAACCAGUGAGGAGCGACUGUUUACUAAAAACACAGGUCCGUGCGAAGUCGCAAGACGAUGUAUACGGACUGACGCCUGCCCGGUGCUGGAAGGUUAAGAGGACCCGUUAACCCGCAAGGGUGAAGCGGAGAAUUUAAGCCCCAGUAAACGGCGGUGGUAACUAUAACCAUCCUAAGGUAGCGAAAUUCCUUGUCGGGUAAGUUCCGACCUGCACGAAUGGCGUAACGACUUCUCAACUGUCUCAACCAUAGACUCGGCGAAAUUGCACUACGAGUAAAGAUGCUCGUUACGCGCGGCAGGACGAAAAGACCCCGGGACCUUCACUACAACUUGGUAUUGAUGUUCGGUACGGUUUGUGUAGGAUAGGUGGGAGACUGUGAAACCUCGACGCCAGUUGGGGCGGAGUCGUUGUUGAAAUACCACUCUGAUCGUAUUGGGCAUCUAACCUCGAACCCUGAAUCGGGUUUAGGGACAGUGCCUGGCGGGUAGUUUAACUGGGGCGGUUGCCUCCUAAAAUGUAACGGAGGCGCCCAAAGGUUCCCUCAACCUGGACGGCAAUCAGGUGGCGAGUGUAAAUGCACAAGGGAGCUUGACUGCGAGACUUACAAGUCAAGCAGGGACGAAAGUCGGGAUUAGUGAUCCGGCACCCCCGAGUGGAAGGGGUGUCGCUCAACGGAUAAAAGGUACCCCGGGGAUAACAGGCUGAUCUUCCCCAAGAGUCCAUAUCGACGGGAUGGUUUGGCACCUCGAUGUCGGCUCGUCGCAUCCUGGGGCUGGAGCAGGUCCCAAGGGUUGGGCUGUUCGCCCAUUAAAGCGGCACGCGAGCUGGGUUUAGAACGUCGUGAGACAGUUCGGUCUCUAUCCGCCGCGCGCGUCAGAAACUUGAGGAAACCUGUCCCUAGUACGAGAGGACCGGGACGGACGAACCUCUGGUGCACCAGUUGUCCCGCCAGGGGCACCGCUGGAUAGCCACGUUCGGUCAGGAUAACCGCUGAAAGCAUCUAAGCGGGAAACCUUCUCCAAGAUCAGGUUUCUCACCCACUUGGUGGGAUAAGGCCCCCCGCAGAACACGGGUUCAAUAGGUCAGACCUGGAAGCUCAGUAAUGGGUGUAGGGAACUGGUGCUAACCGGCCGAAAACUUACAACA